rnacentral:rRNA from 1 species
GACGAACGCUGGCGGCGUGCCUAAUACAUGCAAGUAGAACGCAGUUGCGAACGGGUGAGUAACGCGUAGGUAACUGCCUCAUAGCGGGGGAUAACUAUUGGAAACGAUAGCUAAUACCGCAUACUGUGAGAUGGACCUGCGUUGUAUUAGCUAGUUGGUGAGGUAAAGGCUCACCAAGGCGACGCUACAUAGCCGGCCUGAGAGGUAGGUGCGCCACCCUUGGAAGUAGAAAAGGGCCCAACUCCCACGGGAGGGCGCAAGUGGGAAUUUUUGGCAAUUGGAGGAAGGCUGACCGCGCAACGCCGGGGUAGAGAAAAAAGUUUUCGGAUCGUAAAACUCUGUUGUGACAGAAGCGGUAACGAACCAGAAAGGGACGGCUAACUACGUGCCAGCAGCCGCGGUAAUAC